rnacentral:rRNA from 1 species
AGCGAACGCUGGCGGCAGGCCUAAAACAUGCAAGUCGAACGCCGUAGCAAUACGGAGUGGCAGACGGGUGAGUAACACGUGGGAACGUACCCUUUGGUUCGGAACAACACAGGGAAACUUGUGCUAAUACCGGAUAAGCCCUUACGGGGAAAGAUUUAUCGCCAAAGGAUCGGCCCGCGUCUGAUUAGCUAGUUGGUGGGGUAACGGCCCACCAAGGCUACGAUCAGUAGCUGGUCUGAGAGGANGAUCAGCCACACUGGGACUGAGACACGGCCCAGACUCCUACGGGAGGCAGCAGUUAGGAAUCUUGGACAAUGGGCGCAAGCCUGAUCCAGCCAUGCCGCGUGAGUGAUGAAGGCCUUAGGGUUGUAAAGCUCUUUCAGCGGGGAAGAUAAUGACGGUACCCGCAGAAGAAGCCCC